UAGUGGGAAUCUCGAACUUCACUUGCCCCCGAACUCCUGAUUUCUCCCUCUAAACCUGCUCCACCUACAGUCUUUCCCAUGUCAACUGAGUAUGGCCAGGCAGGGACUGCAUCCAUCUUCCCCUACAGCUGGGUCCUGGCGUGAAGCACAUGGCUUGGCACAUGUCACAUUCUCAGUGACAGUUGACACUUGAGAGAUCAUGGGAUUUAAAAUGUGCAGUGGAAGAUUGAGACAUGGAGAAGCCUGCCCACCAUGUCACAGCGGCUGCUAGAAAAUUUAAAACUACAUCUGUGGUUCCACUGUGGCUGAUACUGUAUUUCUGCUGUACAUCCCUGCCUUGGAAGCUCCUGGGUCCCAGGGGACCAGGGCACCCUUUUGCCACCACCCCCAUCUCCAUGCAGAAUGUCGCUGUCACCUCCGCUGAGCAGGAUCUCGGCUCCUCCUGUAGGUUCUGUGCCAUCUACCAGACAGAACCAUCAACCCUCUGCAGCUCCUGCAGCCCUAAAGCAGGCGCUUCCACCCAGCUUGAGUCCUCGAGAUCUUCAAGCAGCCAGCGCCCCGGGCAGGGUGGAGGAGCGGAGCGUCUCCUUCCCCUUUGUGCUUCUAUUGAGAGGCCCAGAGCAGAGAAAGCUGUUAGUGCUCCAGCAUCUCAGAGCGCACAGAAGGCCUUUUCUUUUUUUAUUUACUGCCGUCUCUGCGGGAAAACAAUGGAGGUCAGCCAGGAUCAGACUUUUGCUUUGUUUUGUUUCCUAUAUAUUAUAUAUUUGCUUUUUUUAAAAAAUCCUUUCAAAUAAAUUUUACUGAGGUAUGAUUUAUAUGCA